rnacentral:tRNA from 1 species
GCCCUAGUAGCUUAGCCACUAAAGCGCCGGUCUUG